GCUCGAUUAGUAUAGAAAAUAUUUUGAUUUUAGGGGUCAAAGAGUGAAGAAUAAACUUCAAUUGAGUG
rnacentral:tRNA from 2 species